rnacentral:rRNA from 1 species
GACGAACGCUGGCGGCGUGCUUAACACAUGCAAGUCGAACGGUGAAGCGGGUGCUUGCACUCGUGGAUCAGUGGCGAACGGGUGAGUAACACGUGAGUAACCUGCCCAUCACUCUGGGAUAAGCACUGGAAACGGUGUCUAAUACUGGAUACGACCAACCCUUGCAUGGGGUGUUGGUGGAAAGAUUUAUCGGUGAUGGAUGGACUCGCGGCCUAUCAGCUUGUUGGCGGGGUAAUGGCCCACCAGGGCGACGACGGGUAGCCGGCCUGAGAGGGUGACCGGCCACACUGGGACUGAGACACGGCCCAGACUCCUACGGGAGGCAGCAGUGGGGAAUAUUGCACAAUGGGCGAAAGCCUGAUGCAGCGACGCCGCGUGAGGGAUGACGGCCUUCGGGUUGUAAACCUCUUUCAGCAGGGAAGAAGCGAAAGUGACGGUACCUGCAGAAGAAGCACCGGCUAACUACGUG